GAGAACUUCCUUUGGCCAUUCUUCUGGGUUGUUCUGCUGGUGACAGGUUCUUGUUUUCCUUCAUCACAGAAUGUCUUAAUUUCCCCUUGAUUCCUAGGGGAGAUUUUCACUCCAUUUACAGGGCUCUUUCAACACUGGAGACAUUCUGCUCCGUUUCCGCCCAGCCUGCCCGGGUUUAUCAUGAGACCCCACCGUCAUUCAAGUUGUUUCCUCUUCUAGGUAAGGAGUUGUUGGCCUCUGGCUGCGUUCAAGGGUCCCCCGCCCCCCCCCUUGGUCCUUGGUUUUUAGAAAUUUGAUCAUGAAUGGCCUCUGGACGCUGAGCCACUCAGGUUGUGGCUUCUCUUGUUCCACUUUGCAGUGGUGACGGUUCUUUCCUCUGCCCUCUCCACUCUGUGGUCAAAUUUAUCAACUGAGCUUUUCCUUUUGGCUCUCGUGUGUUUCAAUUUGAAAAUAUCCAUUUUUAAAAGAAUCUUUUUUUUUUUUUUUCUGAGACUCUGUGUCUCUGCCAAGUGUCCCCAUUUUCCUUUUGAGGGUGCAGUGCUUGCUCACUGAAGCGUGUUCUCACGGCAGCCCUGAGAUACUUGUCAGUUCAUCUGACGUCUGUGUCAUCUUGGCUUUGGCAGGGAUCGACUGUCGCUUUCCAUUCAGUGGAGCCUUCCCUGUUCUGGGUGUGAUGGGAGUGUCAUUGGGGGUCUGGACUUUCUCUUAGGAGAUUCUGUUCCCACUGGCUUUCUCGACACUGCCCUGGGAGAGGACAGAGGCACCGUCACAUAGCUGCCAGGGGAAGACCCAAGUCCGGCCCCUGCUUAGUCUCCCAAGGAGGGGGGGCUCCUUGCUACUCUGGCUCUGGCCUCCAUCACACCCUGGUUGGUGUCUUGCUGUCCCUGGGGAAAGUCGUGACUCUUCACUGGACUCCCAGUGGGGAGGGGCCGGGUUCUCAUUCCUGCUAGGCUGGGUGGACGUGCUGGCUUCCCAGGGGUCUUCCCUCCCCAGGCAGGAUGGUGGUGGGACAGUACUGAGGGGAUGAGAUGCCGGGCUGGCUUCUUGGCCUUAUGUGACACCAGAAUUGAGGAUGGGAUGUUGGAGUGACUCGUCUAGACUAGGAGGGCAGAAGUCGAGGCUCCCCACCCUGUUUGUGCCAGUCUAUGUGGAGAUGGAGGUCACUGUGUGUGUGUGGUGGAGGGGAUCCUGGGGAUUGAACUCAGGGGUGCUCGCCCACUACAUCCCCACCCCUUUUUAUUUUGAGAUGGCCCUAAUUGGCCCGGGCUGGCUUCCAACUUGCAAUCCUUCUGCCUCAGCCUCCCCAGUUGUUAGGAUCACAAGUCUGUGCUAUUGUCCAUCGCGAAGUUUUCUGUCCUGCUAGGCUGUGUCUUUCUGGUCCUUUGGAUAGAGAAAGCAGAGGCUUGUUGUCGUCGUCUUUGCCUGUUGGUGUUUCUCGGUUGCCAGUUCUGAGUCUGGGGUUUAUAGGAAACUGCAGAGAGCUCAUCACGACGUUGUACUUUGGUCCCAAGGUCUCUAGCAGGUCUGCCUCCUCUGCCUCUCAGAGUCUUAUGAUUUACAUGCAACAUCCAGUGUUUUUAGUUGUAUUUAUCAGAAUGAAUAGAAAAAAAUCACGUCUAUUCCAUCUUCCCAGAGUAGAAGUUCUCAGAACGAUUUUUACAAAAUGGUUAAAAGAGUAGCAAAGACUGGGAAUGUAGCUCAGUGGUAAGAGUGUUGGCUUAACAUGCACGAAGCCCUGGAUUUGAUCACCAGGAAAAAAGCAAAAUAAUUAUAGCCAGGUGGCAUGGUGCACAUCUAUAAUCUCAGCUGCUCAGGAGGCUGAGGCAGGAAGAUCACAAGGCUGAGGUGAGCCUGAGCAACUUAGUGAGUCUCUAUCUCAAAAUAAGAUAUGGAAAGGCCUGGGCAUGUAGCUCUGUGACAGAGUGCCCUGGGCUGAAUCCCCAGUUCUGGAAAAGAAGGGGAAGGAGAGGAAGAAGGGGAGGGGGAGGAGGAGGAGGAGGAGGGGGAGGAGGGGGAGGAGGAGAAGAGAAGACUCUUUCAUGGCACAUGAUAAUCAUGACAUUCAAAUUUCAGUACCCUUGAGGCUUUUUGGCACAGCCUUACCUCGGUCACACACUGCCAGUGGCUGCUUUCGGACUGUAACGGCAGAAUGAAGUCGAUUCCUGGCCCCUUCUAGAAGUUUGCCAGUGCCUGGCUUAUGAUCUAGGAUAUUUUUUUAAAAAGGAAACAAAGACAAAAAAAAAACCUCCUGAAAAUCAACGAGAAAAGGAGACCACUUGGUAGAAAGAUCGGCAAGAGCUAGAAACAGGCAUGUUGCAGGUGAGGAUGCAUGACAUCCCUGGAUCCUUGGGCUGUGACCUUCCCGUUGCUCAUGAUGGGGUGGGUGGCUACUAGUGACACCUGCAGUUUUGCCCCAUCUGUUUCCAGUCCCAUCGGCCACCCCUCUCUACUGACUUUGAGGGCCUUGCCCACCCUACUAGAUCACUCAGCCACACUGUCCAGCUGCGUGGCUAUAACAAAAGGCCUUAGACUGGGUGGUUUGUGAGUAGAAGGAGCUCAUCUCUGCAGUUGUGGAGUCUGGGACAGUCAAGGACACGAGCCAGCAGACUGGGUUUCUGGUGAGGGCCUGUCCCAUUCAAGUGCCUCCCACAUGGCAAAAGGACUAACAGACCCCCUCAAGCCCUUGUAUAAGGAACUGACCCCAUUUGUUAAUAGUCCCCCCUCUGAGCCCCCUUGCACUGUAGCUGAGUCUCAACCUGAGUUUUGGGGGACACAGACACUCACAAUGCUAUUACCCAAGCACGAGUAGUUUUGUUUUUAAUAGGGCCCCUCAACUUGUUGUAUGCCUUUGAUCAAUUUCCAGAGCCCUGAAAUGAUUGUUUUUGACAAUUUUGUCAAGGUUUAUCAUUGUUUUAUGGGGAGGGAUUUGAUAUAUUUUAUAGUAAGAUUUUUUUUUUUUUUGGCAGGGGGUAAAGGGGAUUAAAUUCAGGGGCUCUUAACUACUGACCCACAUCCCCAGACUACCUCCCCAUUUCAAAAAAAUAUUUUAUUUAGAGACAGGUUCUUGCUAAAUUGCUUAGGGCUUCACUACGUUGCUGAAGCUGGCUUUGAACUUGUGAUCCUCCUGCCUCAGCCUCCUGAGCUACUGGGAUCGACGGCGGUGCGCCCCUGUGCCCAGCUCCCAGGCCUUUUAAUUUUUAUUUUGAAACAGUGUCUCACUAAAUUGUCCAGGUUGACUUCAAACUUGUGAUCCUCCUGCCUCAGCCUCCCAAGCUGUUGAGAUUACAGGCGUGGGCCACCAUGCGUGGCUAGGUUAAAGUGUUAAAGGAAACUUCUAGAAGCAGACAGGAAGCAGGAAGCACUGUCCCAGGUGGUCCGGGUAUAGAAGAUAAUGUCCCUCACACCUUCUCCAGGGCCGUCCCAAGCAUGCUCAGCACACCCUCAGCCCAGGGCCCUGGACCUGCUGCCCUCGGCCGGGGGCCUCUUCUCCCAGGUGCCUUCUGGGCUUGCUCUCUCACUUCCUGUGGGCUCUGUUCAACUGUCACCUCCUCAGGACUGUCCCUGAGGCAGCACUCACCUUGGGCACUCUGCAUCUUUCUCCUUGUCUUGUGUUGCCACCCAAUGUCAUUAAUGCCCCGCUGCUUAGUGUCUGCGGCCCCCAUCGGAACGUGAGCCGAGGGCCACCAGUGUCUGUUAGCAUUUGUGGGGCCAGUGAACGUGGGCCUCCUGACCCACAGGUGAAGUACAGGGGUCUGACCUGGAUGGCAGAAGCAUUAGAGGGAGCAGAUGAGGGUCCAACUGUCACCGCUAAAUGCUCAGGACACUGCUCCCCGAUGACGUUUCUGCAGGUCAGGGUGGGCAGGGGUCAGGGUGGGCAGGGGUCAGGGUGGGCAGGGUCAGGGUGUCGGCAGUGAGCAGACUCCAGGCUUCCCGCUAGGAGGCUGCCACUGUUGGUGGGCAUUGGUGAGGCAGAACUUCUCCCGCUGGGUGCAGGGGGACUAGAUGGGUCCUCCCCAAGGCCUCUGGCCACUGACCUUCACACGUCCUUGUCUUCUGUCUGCAGGUGAUUCUGGGGCAGGCACAGAUCCUAGAGCACUGGAUCAGCUGGUGGAAAUGUCCCAGAACAAAGGAACGGGGGUAAUUAGCAGCUGUUGAUUGAUCUGGGCAUGAGGGUGACUGUGCUUGUAGUGACAAUAGAACUUAAUUAAAAUCGGCUGGUUUGGCAGCUAUUGAGAUCCGCCUUGAUCUCUGGUGCUCCAUGUGGCCUCCUCUGUGUUACCAACAGGGCCUGAAAUUCGAGGCUUGUUUUUGGGCGGUGUGAUGUGCCCGCUGCGGUGUGGGAUGAUGAUUAUGUCGAUUUCCCUCUGAAACUUAUUUUCACAAACUGUCAGAAUGGGCUUGUUAUAUUUAUCCCUUAAAUCAUUAGGGAGUAAUAAUUAGACCAAAAAUGGUUUUGAGUGUUUCUGUACUACUAAUUAUUUUUAGCUUGAAGCCGCUGCUGAUCAUUGGUUUUGGGGGGUCAGGAUGUAGAACUGUCUUAGGAGAUUCUAAAUAAAAGGGCGCCUUAUGUGCUUGGCCAGAGGAGGAGGAUUUUUAGCACGUGGCUGAGGCUGGUGGCAGGUUAGCAGGAAGGUAGGAUGCAGGGGAGCAGGGAGAUUUGCUUUGGGGCUCACUGGCUGGCAACAGUAGCUAUCUUCCAUCUGAGACUCUUUUUCAUUGUUUCACUGCGUGAACUUGUUUAAUCCCUGCAGCAGGUUCCAUUGCCCUUCUCCUCUGCAGACGGGCCCAUCAGGCAGCUCACCCAAAGUUAAGUAGCCAGUCAGUUGUAGAACCAGGACUGGAGGCCAUGCAAGACUCUGGAACCCACGUUUUGAACCACUCUCCAUACUGCUUCUGUUUCUUAAGCAUCUACUAUGCUCUGUCCCAAACAGACACUUGCCCAACAAAAUCCUUACUUCAAGGCAGGUGCCAUCAUGACACCGAAGGGGAGACAAAGCCCAGAGAGUUAAGGAUUUGCUCUGUGUCUUUCCUUGGGCCACUCAGCGUAUGUUUACUGAGAGCUUCGUCUGUACCAGGCCUUUCUUAGACUGGUGCUGCCAGCCGUCGAGGUGAUCAUCAGAAGACAAAUGCGGCUCUGGUUCUGAUGUGUGUAUUUGGGGAAGAGACACACAAGAAAAAAAGAAAAUAUCAGAUGUUGUCAGAAUCAAAAUAAGAUGGUAUCAUGGGGACUAAGGGGGCCCUUCUUGAGAUAGUUCUUAGCGAGGGCCCCUCGGUAGGGAAAAGUCAGAGCCAGCCAUGUGGAGCCAAGCAUUCCAGGCGGAGGGAGUGAAUGCCCAGGUGUGAGCCCAGGGGAGGGCGAGAGCGUGCAGAGGGGAGGCCAGUGGGGAGGAGGAUGGGGCAGAGUGGAGAGCCACGCUGGAGGCCGAGGUCCGUUUCUAAGUAUAAUAGACAGAUGCUAAGAAAUGAACUGAGGGGUGCGUUGUGCUCUGAAUUUUGCUUGUAAAAGACUGUGUUUGCUGCCAACUGUAUUGGGGGGGCGAGCAGAGGGCAGCGGGGGCCAGGUUUGGAGCCUGUGGCUAUCAUCCUGAUAAAGAGGGCGGUGGCUAGUCCACAGGGUAGUGGGCAGGGAUGGAGAGUGUGUGACUCCUGGUGGCCCUGGGGAGGAGCUGGCUGGGCUGCUGGUGACUUGCUGUGAAGAGGUGGGAGGGGAUGGACGUGUCCUGAAGGACUCAGGAGGGAGCAGACACCAGGACCCGGCAGCUUGGGGUGGGUCAGUUUGGGACAUGCCACGCGCGUGCGCUGCUUCUCCUGGGCAGUGGCCGUCUCCACAUGGGAACAGGAGGGAUUCGGGGAUUGAUGAGGUUGGAGCUCCAACUUUGAGGGUCCAUGGUGAGUCCUUGGUACCCACAGGCAUGGAACUGGGAUAGGAACUGAGAAGGGAUACGGGGAAGAGACCACGUCUUGGGAAGUGCCAGUCUUUUGUAACAAAAUGCCUGAGAAAGUCAACUUAGAGGAGGAAAAAUUUAUUUUGGCUCAUGGUUUCAGAGAUUUCAGGCCAUGAUUGACUUGCUAGAGUCCUGUACCGAGACAGAGCAUCAUGGCUGAGAGGGUUGAUGGAGCUGAGCCGCUUACCUCAUGGUGGGGAGGGAGGGAGGGAGAGGGGAAGAGAAGGAGGGAGGGAGGGAGGGAGAGAGGAAGAGAUGGAUGUCCCCCAAAGGCACAUGUACUUAAGGCCCUGUCCCCAGUGCUGCAAGUCCAGAGGCGGUUUACAGGGCUCACAGGGCUCUGACCUCGUCAGUGGGUCGAUCCUUUGGUGCCUUCAUCGUUUGAUGACUGUUGGGAGGUAGGACUAGUUGGAGGAAGUCGGUCCCUGGAGGUGUGCCUGGAGGGUCUAUCUCAUCUCUGUCCCCUUCCCCUCUUUCUGCUUUCCAGCCGAGGAGAGCUAUCCGCUUUCCUCCCACUCCCUUCCACCGUGAUGGUCUGCCUUGCUUCAGGUCCAGAGCCUGGGAGCUGCCCGCCAGGGACUAAAACCUCUGUAACCGAGACCACAAAGAACCCGUCCUUCUCCAUGUUGUGUCAGGUACUUUGGUAAUGGGGACAAAAAGAUGGCUUACCGGGCUAGAUGGAAUACUGCCACUAAAUCCAGAUGGCAGAAGUGACCCCUGGGUCCUGUGACAUGGGCAGUAGUGGAGAGAGAUGGGGCGUCCAGUUAGGGGCUUUUGAAGCACAGAUAACAGAGCACGUUUGUUUCCAGGUGAAAAAGGACCCGGGGAGAGAGACGAGAAUGGACGAGAGCGAGGGCGGCCUGCGAAGGGGAUGUCCUUGGCAAGGCAGGAUGCCGGGGGCCAGAGCUGCAGCAGGAGCAGACCCAGGGUGCCCAGGGGCAGGCAGGCUGGCCAGGAGGGCAAGUGGGGGCUUGGCGUUAGGGAGGCUAAGACAGGAGGGACGACCUCGGCUGCAAGUUCCCCCGGGAGGCUGAGUGGGGAGGAUGGCAGGAGAGGAGGGAGAGGAAUGUGCACUUGGUGAGAGAGAGAGAGAGAGGGAGAGGGAGAGGGAGAGGGAGGGAGAGACAGAGAGAAAGAGAGAGGGAGAGGGAGAAGUAGAGAGAGAGAGCGAAGGAGACAGAGGGGGAGAGGGAGAGAGAGAGGGAGAGGGAGAGGGAGAGACAGAGAGAGAGAAAGGGAGAGGGAGAAGGUAGGCUCAGUGGGCCUACGUGGGUGUGUGGUGUGGGUGUCCCUGGCUGAGGGAAAAGGGGGGAGGGAGAGACAGAGAGAGAGAAAGGGAGAGAGAGAGAGGGAAGGAGACAGAGGGGGAGAGGGAGAGAGAGAGGGAGAGGGAGAGGGAGAGGGAGAGACAGAGAGAGAGAAAGGGAGAGGGAGAAGGUAGGCUCAGUGGGCCUACGUGGGUGUGUGGUGUGGGUGUCCCUGGCUGAGGGAAAAGGGGGGACGGCAGGUUGGGUUGAACCAGGGGGUCGGGGGGUUUCCCAGCAGAGAGAGAAGAAAUCCAGGAUUUUCUUGCUCAGGGCUGUGGCAGCCGCUGGCCUCUAGGCCUUUCUGUUUCUGCCUUUCUCUCCCCCUUCCUGUCUCUGAGAGGUGGUGGCAGGGUCCCUCCAGUUGGGCAGCCCUGGCUGCCCUCUGGCCCUUGUCUGGGGAGAGCUGCGGAGGGGCCUGGCAGCAGACCUGGCACCCCCCUCCCUGUUUCCGAGCAUCCUUUCCUCGUCUUGGCCUGGCGCCCUUCGAGGACCGAGUGGCAGGUGCCCUUCUCAAAAGCCACCUAAGGUCCAGGUCAGCGCAGGGGCUGGGGCUGCUCUGUCUCCAAACUAACCUGAGACAUAAAUCCCCAGAACCCCGCUGCCCAACCUCAGGGUGCUUCCUCUCCUCCUCCCCAGGCUUCGAGACUGCCUGCCAUGACGGCCACCUCCUCCACUCCCGGCCCACUCAGGGUCACCCUCCUCCCGGCCUUAUCCCCUGCUGACCCUUUUCUCUUCCUCUAGGGCACUUGCUUCCAAAUGAGGACCCAGAGGCUGAGAAACGACAGGAGUAUUUUCUGGGUCCAUCUUGGGCUACCUGAGGCCAGGGGCGUGCUCCUCCUUCUAGGGCUUGAUCUUCACUUCUAGCCGGGACACGGCUUGUCCCUUGAGACCGAGGGCAGCCUUCCCUUCAGGUCCCGGGGAAAGGAGGUGAGCAAGCUAUAGGAGGGCCAUCGGGCAAAUGGCAGUGACAGACAUCAUUUGGGUCCCCAGAGGGUGGAGCCUGGAUGCCGUUUGGUGUGGGAUGAGGUUUUCAGGACCCCUGAACCCGACCGUGGUGGAAGGCUGCGUGCCGCCCUGAUCAACAGUGAUUUCCAGUGUGACGGUGAAAGCCGGUGGGGACCCCCGUCCUAGGGGCCAUGAGGUCAUCGUGCCUGCGCUGUGUGCUUUGUUUGUACAGUGACACCAUUUUCCAGGCCAGAGUAGUCUGUACUCUGACGUGCCGAGGACUCGCGGUUUGGUUUUGUGUCGGGAGGCAGCAGGUGUACGGACCACCUGUGACAAGAGCUCAAGUGGCAGGAUGGAGGUUGGAGUGACAUGUGACGUCAACACAGGGAGGAGCAGCCUGGGGACUGGAAGUGCAGCCUGCAUUGUGGACAGUCUACACUGGGUCAUCUAGAGAUUCUUCACUCACCUCAGGCUCGAAGUGCACUCAGCGAGGGCUCCUGUGCCCGGCACUGGGUACACCACCCCCUCUCUCCCUCCUACUGGCCGGGUGCUGAGGACGGGACCAGGUGGGCUCCUGGGCUGUGGUCAUGUGCAUUGAUUUUGGCCCAGUCGGCCACCGUCCCUGUGCAGUCCGGUGGAGCCUGGAUGACCUCUGACCUAGCCCUUCAUUCUGGAGAAAGGUGAGACGUCUCUCACCCUGCAGACAUCAGAGACAGGAGAUUCCUGUCUUGCGGCCUCUGGGACCUCCGCAGAGAGUGGCCUGGUUGGUUCCCUCCAGUUUCAUGCUUUCAGUCUAAGCCAUUUUCUGCAUCUGCCCUGAGUAAAGCCAUGGCUUGAGCAUUGUUUUCACAACCAGGUUCUGGAACCCCAGGAUCCCAAGAGGGACGUCAACUGCUGCCCUGAGGCUGGGUUCUCUGGGGUGGGGGGGCAGGAUUCCCUUUCCUGCUAAUGCCAGAGCCUCUCAGCUACCGUCAGUUUCAUGUGCUUUGAGCUUUGUUUAAUAUUUUGUUGGAAAAGGGUUCUGCAAUAAAAGAAAACUAGAAUAGUGAUAAAGGUCAGAGCACCGAACUCGGGCCCUUGUGGUGUACUGUUCCUUUAAAUCCAG
rnacentral:lncRNA from 1 species